AAUCCUGCAAUUUUGGCACCGGCGGAUUUUUCAAUAAUAAUGAAAUCAAUGUUAUUGCACAAUUUCAUAUUUGAAAAAUCCGCCGGUGCCAAAAUUGCAGGA
rnacentral:sRNA from 1 species